ACCCUUUAAUGUUUGAUGUUCUAACGUGGACCCGUGAUCCGGGUUGCGGACAGUGUCUGGUGGGUAGUUUGACUGGGGCGGUCUCCUCCUAAAGAGUAACGGAGGAGCACGAAGGUUGGCUAAUCCUGGUCGGACAUCAGGAGGUUAGUGCAAUGGCAUAAGCCAGCUUGACUGCGAGCGUGACGGCGCGAGCAGGUGCGAAAGCAGGUCAUAGUGAUCCGGUGGUUCUGAAUGGAAGGGCCAUCGCUCAACGGAUAAAAGGUACUCCGGGGAUAACAGGCUGAUACCGCCCAAGAGUUCAUAUCGACGGCGGUGUUUGGCACCUCGAUGUCGGCUCAUCACAUCCUGGGGCUGAAGUAGGUCCCAAGGGUAUGGCUGUUCGCCAUUUAAAGUGGUACGCGAGCUGGGUUUAGAACGUCGUGAGACAGUUCGGUCCCUAUCUGCCGUGGGCGCUGGAGAACUGAGGGGGGCUGCUCCUAGUACGAGAGGACCGGAGUGGACGCAUCACUGGUGUUCGGGUUGUCAUGCCAAUGGCACUGCCCGGUAGC
rnacentral:rRNA from 1 species